UCCCAGCUCAAUCGGUAGAGCGUCAGACUCUUAGUAUGAAUAUACCAAUAGUAAUCUGAAGGUUGCGGGUUCGACCCCCGCGUUGGGCU
rnacentral:tRNA from 2 species